rnacentral:lncRNA from 1 species
GAUAUUCGGCUUGCUCGAGCUCGACUCGAAAUUAAAUGAGCGAGCUUGAAUUAAAAAAAAAAUUUAAAAUUUAUUUCAAACCGAGGUUGAGUAUUACUGCGCUCGCUCGAAUUAGGAUAAAAAAACUCGAGUAUAUAUAUAUAUAUAUAUAUAGUAGAGCUACUAUAUAUGCUGUCGCAAACAUAGAAGAUACGAUGUUUCCGAUUUUUUCGCCUUUAGAUCAGUCCUUUUAAUCAUUUCUAAUCUUUAGAUUAAUACUAUUAUCCUGUGGGGACCACUCAACUUUAGGGGGACCACUCGACCUUAAAAGACUAAUAUCAUUUUAACCCUAUAAUUUCUAAUCCAAGAGUUAAAAAUUUGAUAGCCAAAGUUGCCAAAUACUAUCAAUAGUAUUCCAGCUCAACUAUAUAUAUAUAUAUAUAUAUAUAUAUAUAUAUAUAUAUAUAUAUAUAUAUAUNUUUUAUAUAGAUAUAUUAUUAUAUAAUAAUUUAUUAUAUAAUUUACUAUUUAUUUUUAUAAAAUAUAAAAUAUAUAAAUAAAUGUUAAAUAAUUUAAAUUAUUGGUAUUAGAUAUAAAUGUUAAUUUUAUUAUGUUGAGCAUUCACAUAUAAAUUGUACUUUAAAAAAUAAAAAAAAAAAAGAUUGACGCAACUUAAGUUAAUUUUAUAUUUGAUGAAAGUUAAUUGCGAGAAUUACAAGUAAUGAUUUCUCUUCUUAUUCACUACCUACCGGGCCCUACGAAAAAUUUUUGAUAUACUUAUUUCACCAUUUAUUAUUUCUCAACUCCUUAUAUAUAUAUAGAGAGAGAGAGAGAGAGAGAGAGAGAGAGAGAGUUGAGCUAGAAUACUCUCGAGAGUAAACGGGCCCGUUUACUCUCGAGUUGUUUUCGAUGAUAGAGCUUCCAAAUGGACGAUCGGUUCCGUUAAAUAUUGUGACACCCCAAUAAUCCCACAUCGGAUGG